rnacentral:rRNA from 1 species
AACGAACGCUGGCGGCAGGCCUAACACAUGCAAGUCGAACGAGAUCUUCAGAUCUAGUGGCAGACGGGUGAGGAACGCGUGGGCACAUCCCUUUCAGUUCGGAAUAACGUAGGGAAACUAACGCUAAUACCGGAUACGUCCUUCGGCAGACAGAUUUAUCGCUGAAGGAUUGGCCCGCGUCUGAUUAGCUAGUUGGUGAGGUAACGGCUCACCAAGGCGACGAUCGGUAGCUGAUCUGAGAGGAUGAUCAGCCACAUUGGGACUGCGACACGGCCCAGACUCCUACGGGAGGCAGCAGUGGGGAAUAUUGGACAAUGGGCGCAAGCCUGAUCCAGCCAUGCCGCGCGAGUGAUGACGGCCUUCGGGUUGUAAAGCUCUUUUGUCAGGGAAGAUAAUGACUGUACCGGAAUAAUAAGCCCCGGCAAACUUCGUGCCAGCCGCCGCGGUAA